rnacentral:lncRNA from 1 species
UGGACCACUGGGCUGGGACCCACGACCCCACCACCACGCCUGGAGGACGCGCAGCGGCGCCUCGGCCUUGGAAGGGGAGUUUCCCAGCGCGAGCCCCGCCCUUCCCCGCCCGGGAGGCGCCUCGGGGCGGGGUCACUGGCCGGGAGGCCCCGCCUUCCGCCCGAAAGCGCCGGUGCACCCCGCAGGCCCUGCCCGUGGGUCCACAGGCCGGAUCCCCGGGUUCCUAGGCUGGGACUGCUUCUCAGAACCACUCUGUCGUUUUUAAGCAGGGUCACACACUCUAGCUCACUGGGUCCAUUUUAAUUUCUAUUAAACAUUUUUUUUUUUUUGCAAAUGAUGUAGUAGGAGAUCCAAGGUGUUUGGUUAAUGAUUUAUUCACUCAUUAGUCAUUCCACAAACUUGUCUUGAGCACCUGUUAUGUACCCAGCACUGUGCUGGAAUGCUGAGGAGACAGGAGUGAAGUAAAAAGACAUGGUUCCGGCAGGAAACAGGCAAGGAGAGCCUUGACUUGACGGAGUCUGGCUAUAUCGCCAGGCUGGAAUGCAAUGGCGCGAUCUCUCCUCACUGCAACCUCCGCCUCCCGGGUUCAAGCGAUUCUCCUGCCUCAGCACCUCGAGUAGCUGGGACUACAGGCGCGCGCCACCACGCCCAGUAAGAGGAAAUAACUCUACAUUCAAAUUUGAGCAGGGCACUUGGUGACCUACUUAGACAUGACAUUCCUUGGCCUCCCUUUCAGCAAGAUGAGAAAACUGAGGCACAGAGAGGUGAAAUAAGGCCCCCAGAAUGCUCUUCUCCAAGACUUAGAAAAAUCAAAUGCUAUCCAUCCCUCAAGAUACAUCCCUCCAGCCCCUCCUUGAAGUCUCCUGCAGCUAGAAGUAGAAGUAGCAUCUAUCCCCAUCUGGACUCCUUAGCACUUUGCUGUACCUGCCUUAGUCCCCAUCUCUUUACACACACACACACACACACACACACACACACAGAGUAUUAUAAUACUAUUACCUAUUAUAUUACAUUAUAUUAUUGUAGUUCUACAGGAACUACAAGGAAUUCUACUGUGAAUUCCUUAAGGGUGGGAUACAUUUUACAAUCAUCACUGUUUCUCUCAUUAGUUGUGGAAUCAAAAAAAUGAGUGCACGAUGAAAAAUUAUUCAAACACAUACAUGCUUUCAUUCCAAUUGAAAAUGUAAAAAUAUUACUGUUAAAACAAUAUUAAAGGACAUGUAAUACAAUUCAAAUAUUCCUACCAUGCACGAUUGUUUUCACUUCUUUGUGCCUCUUUCACCAUUUAUUUGUGUGCAUACUCAGCAUAUUUGUUUGUGUAACAGGAUGUUAAAAAUAGAAUUUGUUGCCUGUAGUUUUUGCUAAAGCUCUACUAGACUGGAACAGAACAAUAGGUGGUAAAUACUCCAUUCCUCAGUGAGAUGCUACCUACCUAUGCAGAGCUGGAAAAGAUUUUGCAACCUGAAAACCCAAUCCUUUCUGAGAUAUAAAAGAACAGAAGAGUCUGGAAGUGAUUUCUUCGGAGAAAUUCAUUUUCUUAUUCCAGAGAAGAAACUUCAAGCUCAGAAUAUUGGCUACUACCUGUGAUAAACAUUUAAAUUAUUGGAACGAGAGAGUUUUUAUAACUAAAUUUGAAAGAAGCAAUUUUUUUUAUCAAAGACCAACCCGAAGAUUCAUGACCACUACCUGUGAUUUCAUCCAUGUUGCAAGGAAAAUCCUGCCCCACUUCCCCAAUAGGAAGAGUGGUGGGGGAAUAAUAAAGUUGUUUUAUGAUGCAUCCUGUGGACUUCUACUCGACAGAAUGGUAACAUUCAACUGUAAUCAGGAUGAGCAAGCCACUUUAUUAAACUAAAAUUUUAAACUUUAAUAAAUAUAAUACAAACUGAAAAAUAAAAAUAAUUUUUCAACUCUACACAAGUAUGUUAACUGCAUAAACAGUGAGAUGUUACACAGGGCUGAGGCCUAUACUUCUUCAGUUUGUACAUUAAACGUCUCCAUGGAGGGUCAAUUGCAUCCUACCUAUUCUGACAGUUAUCAGGUAGCGAGAGAUUUGAGGAAGAGGCGCUUUUCUAAUCUGGGGUAGGAAAAGGAAUGAUACCAUGUAUCAUGAGAAGUAUUUGCACAUAGUGUGUCAAUUAAGCAAGUGCUCAGACUAUUAACAACAUUACUAUGUGAUGAAUGUUUAUACAGUGGAUUCAAAAAUAAGCUUCUUUCCAGAAAGCAGCUUAGUUUUCAUUAAUUAUUACCAGCAUCUUGGUAAUUAUUUAUUUAAUGGUUUAAAAGUUAAAGUUUCAAUCUAUAUUUGUUUUUUUAACAUCAGCCAAGGAAAUACAUGUCUGUUAUACUGCAUCUUUGGAAGUAUGCAAUAAGUGUAACUAUUGAAUCUAUAUUGAAGAGCCACAAGACACUGAAUUUAAUUGGACGAGACUAUUUUAUUUAGGAAGACAAUCAUCUCCUGUGAUCAGCUUAAGGUUUUUGUUUUGUUUUAUCUGGAACAAGCUAAGUUCAUAUUUAGAAAAUAAAGUUAGUUUUUUGGGUGCAUGAGUUUUAGAGUAAAUUAGUAAUUUAGUAAACUUUGACAUUUCCACUUUGUCUCCAAACACAUUUAAAUUCUAUCUGUCUGACUGAAGUUCUAAGGCAUUCUGUGGUUACUUAGAAAUGAUUCCUUAUAUUAAUGUUUACAAAUGCUAAAUUGUAUUUGUUAAAUACAUGUCUUAUUGCCUAAGAGUUUUCCUUUCUUAUAAGUUUAAUAUAAAUGUCUAGGAAAUAAGACUCCCAUUUAAUAGCUUAUAAAGAAUGCUGAUGUAUCAGCAGUGGCCUUGACAUUAUUGGAUACAAGUAAGAUCUACACUGAUGAUUAAAUCAAAUUGGCUAAGAUUAUUCGUUCUAAUAAAAGCACUGACUCCAUGAAGUUUUCUUGUGGCUGAAAUUAACAUUCGUGUUCCUACAAGCUCUUUAAAAUCUUAGUUACUGAAAAUUAUUCCUUUUGACCUAAUUUUUUCUUUACUUUGGAUGUAUUUGACAAGGUAGAGGUUAGGGAUUGGAGAGUAUGUAAAGAAUGAAAUAAAAUGUAGUCACUUUUAACUAUAUCCACAUA